AGAGAUCUGCAACCAUAAUUCACUGUUCAUACUCACCAUCUGUUGGAUACCUCUCCAUCUAGAAGGGCAAGAAGAAACCUCCAGCAGAAAUGGACCCAUUAUGAGCAGCCAUCUUGCCGUGACCUACUGGAGGUUUAGAGGACCAAAGGUUGUUACGGAAAAAACACAGCAGCACUGGACCAGAGUACUUUUUGUGGGAUGAAAAAGAGAAUACACAAAGUUUCCAUUAGCCUGCCAGGGAGUACAUGGAUGAAACUCCACCUGCUGAUGCCAGAUAUGAAACAUUUAGAGUUCUGCACCCCCUCUAGCCAAGACCUACAGCAUGCAAUGGGGCGGUGCGCAGCCGAGUGUGA